rnacentral:misc_RNA from 1 species
UGAUGUUGGUUGUGGUGUUGCAAGUUUUGGAGGAUAUCUUCUCUCAUCUAAUAUCAUAGCAAUGUCCUUAGCACCAAAUGAUGUUCAUCAAAAUCAAAUUCAGUUUGCCUUGGAAAGAGGAAUUCCUGCAUACCUUGGUGUUUUAGGAACUAAGAGGCUCCCUUACCCAAGCAGAUCUUUUGAACUUGCACACUGUUCUCGUUGUCGUAUUGAUUGGCUUCAAAGAGACGGAAUUCUUCUUCUUGAGCUAGAUAGAUUGCUUAGACCUGGAGGUUAUUUUGCUUAUUCAUCCCCGGAAGCUUAUGCACAGGACGAGGAGGAUCUGAGAAUUUGGAGACAAAUGAGCGACCUUGUGGGUCGUAUGUGUUGGAGAAUUGCUGCCAAGAGAAACCAGACUGUUAUUUGGCAAAAACCCCUAACAAAUGAUUGUUAUCUGCAAAGAGAACCCGGUACCCGUCCUCCACUUUGCCGAUCUGAUGAUGAUCCCGAUGCCGUUUGGGGUGUGCAGAUGGAAGCUUGUAUCACUCCUUACUCUGAACAUGAUCAUAAAGCCAAGGGCAGUGGAUUAGCUCCUUGGCCAGCUCGGUUAACUUCACCUCCUCCACGACUUCAGGAUUUUGGCUAUUCAACUGAAAUGUUCGAAAAAGACACGGACAUUUGGCGGCGUAGAGUUGAAAGUUACUGGAAUCUAUUGAGUCCAAAGAUCGAAGCGGAUACUAUCAGGAAUGUGAUGGACAUGAAGGCCAAUAUGGGAUCAUUUGGAGCUGCUCUGAAGGACAAGGACGUGUGGGUGAUGAAUGUUGUUCCAGAAGAUGGACCUAACACACUGAAGUUGAUAUAUGAUCGGGGCCUCAUAGGCACUACUAAUAACUGGUGCGAAGCCUUCUCGACAUAUCCUCGUACAUACGAUCUGCUCCACGCAUGGACUGUCUUUUCCGACAUCGAGAAGAAAGAAUGCAGCCCUGAGGACCUGUUGCUGGAGAUGGAUCGCAUGCUCAGACCCACAGGUUUCAUCAUCAUCAGGGACAAGCAAUCAGUUGUAGAUUUGAUAAAGAAGUAUCUACCUGCAUUGCAC